rnacentral:misc_RNA from 1 species
CUUUAUGAUGUUCUUUCCCAUUACUCCUUACAUUUAAAAUUGAUUAUUUUGGCAUAGAUUAUUCUAUCCGUCUGUGGUCAACAUGUUAUCAAUGAAAUAUUCGAAUAAAAUAUGGGAAACGUAAAUGCGUUGCCUCUUGGGUAAGCACGUGAAAUACAAGACGACAAAUGACGAUGCCUCGAGGAAUAUCAUCAAGCAAUGCAAUCUUUAUAUAUAUGCAAUUUUAUCGCUAUUAUGUUUUCACUAAGAAAUUGAGCGAACUUGUAUAUUUCAGCUAUCAGAGAUCAAUUGCACGAGAAGUUUCAAUAAAAUGAAAUCGUAUAGAGUAGACCCAUAUUUCUCAGUAAAGGCUUCUGAUAUGUACAUCGGGGAACUCAAGCUAUCAAUGUGAAAUCCAAAUUCGUUUGGAAAUAGUGCCGAACUUCGUAACGUUUCUAUUUUGGCAAUUAUACAAUUGCGUAAUAAAGCAGCAGUGACAGUUUGACGGAGCAGUAGAAACUAUUUGAGAAAUAGUUUAUUGUUUCGCAUCGACAAGAGCAAAUAUCUUCCCGCGAAGAAGGAUUGUCCAUACUAUCGGCGUGAUCGGAGGCCCCGCUGUAAGCGGAAAUGCGUCCUCUUUCGCUACUACUACGCGUGUUUCCGGCUAUGACGCCCCCGCGAUGUUCUC